GGGGUUGACAGGAAUCGACAGCAUCGUUCAUUGACAGGUAAGCAUGCAGCGCAUUGUAGAUUUGGCGCUUUAAUCUCAAACUACGAAACAAUUUUUACACGGCGAGUCUAACUACGCCAUGGCAGCUUAAUUCAGAGAAUUAAGUAGCCUUCGUUCCCGAUGUUGGUUGUCCGGUACAACUUCGGUGAACGUCAUCUCAUCGGGCUGGCUUUACUAAUUUCCGGAGUAAAGUGAGAUAAAGGAAAUAAGGAGGUUCUCAGGUUCGGUGUUUCACCCUGAACUUCCCGACAAACAAGAAGCAUCUAAGCAUGUAGAAAGCUUGCUAAUGCUUUGUCUGGACGUGGGUUCAAAUCCCACCAACUCCACUU
rnacentral:tmRNA from 1 species